CCCCCUGAGCCUUUUGGUGGUUGAUGCCUCAGCAGCCAUGUCUUCAGUUCCUGCACCAUUCGCCCUCUAGGGAGAGUAGACGGGAGUUGACCAGGGGCUGUGAAUGAGGAAGGUGUCUGCUCUGAGUCCUGGUGUGCGGUGUCUCCACCUUGCUGUUUUCCUCAUGUUGCAGGGUCCUGGAGGCUUUGGAAGACUGAGCCCUGGUCCCGGAGGCUUUUGAAGACUGAGCCCAGGGUGCUGUGGACAUUGUUGCUGUUGAAAAUGAGCAUCAGCAUUGGCCUGAACGUUUGACAUUCUGGUGUGAAACGCCCAGACUCUUUAUUAAAUAAAAAC
rnacentral:lncRNA from 1 species